ACUGGGAGUGGGCUGCAUGCCUGUAAUCCCAGCUACUCAGAAGUUAGUGGAAGGAGGAUUGCCUGUUCCCAGGAGCCUGAGGCCAGCUUGGGCAACUUAGCAAGACCCCAUAU
rnacentral:sRNA from 1 species